UACGGAGGGGGCUAGCGUUGUUCGGAAUUACUGGGCGUAAAGCGCACGUAGGCGGCUUUUUAAGUCAGAGGUGAAAUCCCGGGGCUCAACCCCGGAACUGCCUUUGAAACUGGAGAGCUAGAAUCUUGGAGAGGCGAGUGGAAUUCCGAGUGUAGAGGUGAAAUUCGUAGAUAUUCGGAAGAACACCAGUGGCGAAGGCGACUCGCUGGACAAGUAUUGACGCUGAGGUGCGAAAGCGUGGGGAGCAAACAGG
rnacentral:rRNA from 1 species